CGACAGCUACGGAGGGAGCCGACCUCGUCGGACCUCAGAAUGGCGACAGAAGCAACCUCGCUCGCUGGUUUUCCGGUGACGGCGGCGGAGGCGAUUUCUGAUCCAGGAAAUUAGGGCUCACCUCCUUUCUACCUCGCAUCUGUGAAGUGAGAGGAGGGACGCCAGUUUUCAGGAGAUGAACGACGCCGCUCCCAGGCGGCGAUCUCUCGCCG
rnacentral:lncRNA from 1 species